rnacentral:rRNA from 1 species
UAGUCCACGCCCUAAACGAUGGAUACUAGACGUCGGAACACCUAAUAGUUUCGGUGUUGAAGCUAACGCAUUAAGUAUCCCGCCUGGGGAGUACGGUCGCAAGAUUAAAACUCAAAGGAAUUGACGGGGGCCCGCACAAGCGGUGGAGCAUGUGGUUUAAUUCGAUGCUACGCGAAGAACCUUACCAGGGCUUAAAUGUAGUCUGACAGCUUUAGAGAUAGAGUUUUCUUCGGACAGAUUACAAGGUGCUGCAUGGUUGUCGUCAGCUCGUGCCGUGAGGUGUCAGGUUAAGUCCUAUAACGAGCGCAACCCCUGUUGUUAGUUGCCAGCGAGUAAUGUCGGGAACUCUAGCAAGACUGCCGGUAGCAAACCGCGAGGAAGGUGGGGAUGACGUCAAAUCAUCACGGGCCCUUACGGUCCUGGGCCACGACACGUGCUACAAUGGUAGGUACAGAGAGCAGCCACGUCGCGAGGCGGAGCGAAUCUAUAAAACCUAUCUCAGUUCGGAUCGGAGUCUG